UACGGAGGAGGCAAGCGUUAUCCGGAAUUACUGGGCGUAAAGCGUGCGCAGGCGGUUGUGCAAGACAGAUGUGAAAUCCCCGGGCUUAACCUGGGAAUUGCAUCUGUGACUGCAUAGCUAGAGUACGGUAGAGGGGGAUGGAAUUCCGCGUGUAGCAGUGAAAUGCGUAGAUAUGCGGAGGAACACCGAUGGCGAAGGCAAUCCCCUGGACCUGUACUGACGCUCAUGCACGAAAGCGUGGGGAGCAAACAGG
rnacentral:rRNA from 1 species